rnacentral:rRNA from 13 species
AGGCCAGGGGGUAGCGACUGUUUAUCAAAAACACAGGACUCUGCUAAGUCGGCUUCAAGACGACGUAUAGGGUCUGACGCCUGCCCGGUGCUCGAAGGUUAAGAGGAGGAGUGCAAGCUCCGAAUUGAAGCCCAGGUAAACGGCGGCCGUAACAAUAACGGUCCUAAGGUAGCGAAAUUCCUUGUCGGGUAAGUUCCGACCUGCACGAAUGGCGUAACGACUUCCCCACUGUCUCAACUGGAGGCCCAGCGAAAUUGGAGUGCGCGUGCAGAUACGCGCUACCCGCAGAAGGACGAAAAGACCCCGUGAACCUUUACUGUAGCUUGGCAUUGGGUUUCGAAUAACAUUGCGUAGGAUAGGUGGGAGUUUUUGAUCUGUGCAUUCCGGUGUACAGGGAGACAACCUUGAAAUACCACCCUUUGUUAUUUGGAAUCCUAACCUACUGUCGUUAUCCGGCAGGGGGACAAUGUCUGGUGGGCAGUUUGACUGGGGCGGUCGCCUCCUAAACAGUAACGGAGGCGCACGAAGGUUCCCUCAGGCCGUAUGGAAACCGGCCGUAGAGUGUAAGCGCAUAAGGGAGCUUGACUGUGAGACUUACAAGUCGAGCAGGUACGAAAGUAGGUGUUAGUGAUCCGGUGGUUCCGCGUGGAAGGGCCAUCGCUCAACGGAUAAAAGGUACUCCGGGGAUAACAGGCUGAUACCGCCCAAGAGUUCACAUCGACGGCGGUGUUUGGCACCUCGAUGUCGGCUCAUCACAUCCUGGGGCUGAAGCCGGUCCCAAGGGUAUGGCUGUUCGCCAUUUAAAGUGGUACGCGAGCUGGGUUUAGAACGUCGUGAGACAGUUCGGUCCCUAUCUGCCGUGGACGUUGGAGAUUUGAGGAAAGCUGCUCCUAGUACGAGAGGACCGGAGUGGACGAACCUCUGGUGUUCCGGUUGUUUCGCCAGAAGCAUUGCCGGGUAGCUAAGUUCGGACGGGAUAACCGCUGAAAGCAUCUAAGCGGGAAGCCUCCUUCAAGAUGAGUUCUCACACCCCUUCGGGGGUCUAAAGGGCCGUUGUAGACUACAACGUUGAUAGGCUGGGUGUGUAAGCGUUGUAAGGCGUUGAGCUAACCAGUACUAAUUGCCCGUGAGGCUUGACC